AGUGAACGCUGGCGGUAGGCCUAACACAUGCAAGUCGAACGGCAGCACCGUAAGAGCUUGCUCUUACGGGUGGCGAGUGGCGGACGGGUGAGGAAUACAUCGUAAUCUACUUUUUCGUGGGGGAUAACGUAGGGAAACUUACGCUAAUACCGCAUACGACCUACGGGUGAAAGCAGGGGAUCUUCUGACCUUGCGCGAUUGAAUGAGCCGAUGUCGGAUUGGCUAGUUGGCGGGGUAAAGGCCCACCCAGGCGACGAUCCGUAGCUGGUCUGAGAGGAUGAUAGGCCACAUGGGAAGUGAGACACGGUCAAGACGCCUACGGGAGGCAGCAGUGGGGAAUAUUGGACAAUGGGCGCAAGCCUGAUACAGCCAUACCGCGUGGGUGAAGAAGGCCUUCGGGUUGUAAAGCCCUUUUGUUGGGAAAGAAAAGCAGCAGGUUAAUACCACGCUGUUCUGACGGUACCCAAAGAAUAAGCACCGGCUAACUUCGUG
rnacentral:rRNA from 1 species